GACGAACGCUGGCGGCGUGCCUAAUACAUGCAAGUCGAGCGCACAGGUGUGGUGCUUGUACCUCCGGGGUGAGCAGCGGACGGGUGAGUAACACGUGGAUAAUCUACCUUUGAGCGUGGGACAACUUUGGGAAACGAAUGCUAAUACCGCAUAAAAUCUUUAAACACAUGGUUCAAGAUUGAAAGAUGCAAUUGCAUCAAUCAAAAGUGAUCCCGCGUUGUCUUAGCCAGGUUGGUAAGUAAAGGCUCACCAAAGCGAAGAAUGAUAGCCGGCCUGAGAGGGGGGACCGCCCACAUUGGAACUGGAAACCGGCCCAAACCCCUACGGGAGGCGCCGGAAGGGAAUCUUCGGCAAUGAGCGAAGUCCGGACGGAGCAAGCCGGGGUGGGUGAUGAGGGUCUUGGGAUCGUAAAACUUUGUUGUUGGGGAGGAACAAAUGUGUAAUUAAAUAUGCACGUAUUGACGGUACCUAAUCAGAAAGCCACGGCUAACUACGUG
rnacentral:rRNA from 1 species